rnacentral:rRNA from 1 species
UAUGUGAUCGUCUCUCGCAUAUCAAUAAGCGGAGGAAAAGAAACUAACAAGGAUUCCCCUAGUAACGGCGAGUGAAGCGGGAAGAGCUCAAAUUUGAAAUCUUAAAGGGUUUCCCUUUACGAAUUGUAGUUUAAAGAAGUGUUUUCUGUUGAGGUUUUGGUAAAAGUUCUUUGGAAUAGGACAUCAUAGAGGGUGAGAAUCCCGUAUUUGACCUUUACUUUCAACUUUGUGAUACACUUUCAAAGAGUCGGAUUGUUUGGGAAUGCAGUCCAAAAUGGGUGGUAAAUUUCAUCUAAAGCUAAACAUUGGCGAGAGACCGAUAGCGAACAAGUACCGUGAGGGAAAGAUGAAAAGAACUUUGAAAAGAGAGUUAAACAGUACGUGAAAUUGUCAAAAGGGAAGCGUUUGACACCAGUGUUGUUUUUCUGAAAAUCAAUUAAAGAACUGUUUAUGCUAAGUUGUUUAGACUUUAUCAGCUAUCUGCUUAGUUUUGAGCUUUUCUUUAAUGCACUUUUCAGUUAACAAGUCAACAUCAAUUUCUUUUGCUGUAAAAAAGCUUGAGGAAGGUGGCUUGAGAUUCGUCUUAAGUGUUUAUAGCCUCUUGCCUAUGCAGUCGGAGAGAUUGAGGUCUGCAGCGUAGAUCCUUCGGGGCUAAAUGCAUUUGUGCUAAGUUAUAGCAUUUUAUAGACAACUUGUUGACUAUGAUUUGUCUUGUAGCUUACUCGCUUAUGUUAUUUUACCUACGCUUAGGAUGUUGAUCUACAGAGCGAGAGU